rnacentral:rRNA from 1 species
UACGGAGGGUGCGAGCGUUGUCCGGAAUUAUUGGGCGUAAAGAGCUCGUAGGCGGUUUGUCGCGUCGGUUGUGAAAACCCGGGGCUCAACCCCGGGCCUGCAGUCGAUACGGGCAGACUAGAGUGCGGUAGGGGAGACUGGAAUUCCUGGUGUAGCGGUGAAAUGCGCAGAUAUCAGGAGGAACACCGGUGGCGAAGGCGGUUCUCUGGGCAUGUCCUGACGCUGAGGAGCGAAAGUGUGGGGAGCGAACAGG